AUUGAACGCUGGCGGCAUGCUUUACACAUGCAAGUCGAACGGCAGCGCGGGCUUCGGCCUGGCGGCGAGUGGCGAACGGGUGAGUAAUACAUCGGAACGUGCCCAGUAGUGGGGGAUAGCUCGGCGAAAGCCGGAUUAAUACCGCAUACGACCUGAGGGUGAAAGCGGGGGAUCUUCGGACAUCGCGCUAUUGGAGCGGCCGAUGGCAGAUUAGCUAGUUGGUGGGGUAAAGGCCUACCAAGGCGACGAUCUGUAGCUGGUCUGAGAGGACGACCAGCCACACUGGGACUGAGACACGGCCCAGACUCCUACGGGAGGCAGCAGUGGGGAAUUUUGGACAAUGGGCGAAAGCCUGAUCCAGCAAUGCCGCGUGUGUGAUGAAGGCCUUCGGGUUGUAAAGCACUUUUGGCGGGAACGAAAAGGACUGUGCCAAUACCACGGUUCGAUGACGGUACCCGCAGAAUAAGCACCGGCUAACUACGUG
rnacentral:rRNA from 1 species